rnacentral:rRNA from 1 species
UACGGAGGGUGCAAGCGUUGUCCGGAUUUAUUGGGUUUAAAGGGUGCGUAGGCGGCCUAAUAAGUCAGUGGUGAAAGCCUCCAGCUUAACUGGAGAACUGCCAUUGAUACUGUUAGGCUUGAGUAUACUUGAGGUAGGCGGAAUUGACAGUGUAGCGGUGAAAUGCAUAGAUAUUGUCAAGAACACCAAUUGCGAAGGCAGCCUACUAAAUUAUAACUGACGCUGAGGCACGAAAGUGUGGGUAUCAAACAGG